rnacentral:rRNA from 1 species
GAUGAACGCUGGCGGCGUGCCUAAUACAUGCAAGUCGAGCGAACAGACGAGGAGCUUGCUCCUCUGACGUUAGCGGCGGACGGGUGAGUAACACGUGGAUAACCUACCUAUAAGACUGGGAUAACUUCGGGAAACCGGAGCUAAUACCGGAUAAUAUAUUGAACCGCAUGGUUCAAUAGUGAAAGACGGUUUUGCUGUCGCUUAUAGAUGGAUCUGCGCCGCAUUAGCUAGUUGGUAAGGUAACGGCUUACCAAGGCGACGAUGCAUAGCCGACCUGAGAGGGUGAUCGGCCACACUGGAACUGAGACACGGUCCAGACUCCUACGGGAGGCAGCAGUAGGGAAUCUUCCGCAAUGGGCGAAAGCCUGACGGAGCAACGCCGCGUGAGUGAUGAAGGUCUUCGGAUCGUAAAACUCUGUUAUUAGGGAAGAACAAAUGUGUAAGUAACUAUGCACGUCUUGACGGUACCUAAUCAGAAAGCCACGGCUAACUACGUG